UCGGAUGUGGUGCACGGUGCACAUCAGCUACCACUAGUGUGGACGCGCUGUAAGCUGAAGAACGGGGUUCGACUCCCUGCGUCCGAA